rnacentral:rRNA from 1 species
UACGUAGGGUGCGAGCGUUGUCCGGAAUUAUUGGGCGUAAAGGGCUCGUAGGCGGUCUGUUACGUCAGGAGUGAAAACUCGGGGCUCAACCCCGAGCCUGCUUCUGAUACGGGCAGACUGGAGGUAUGCAGGGGAGAACGGAAUUCCUGGUGUAGCGGUGAAAUGCGCAGAUAUCAGGAGGAACACCGGUGGCGAAGGCGGUUCUCUGGGCAUUACCUGACGCUGAGGAGCGAAAGCAGGGGAGCAAACGGGAUUAGA